rnacentral:misc_RNA from 1 species
GAUGAAGAACGCAGCGAAAUGCGAUAAGUAAUGUGAAUUGCAGAAUUCAGUGAAUCAUCGAAUCUUUGAACGCACAUUGCGCCCGCCAGUAUUCUGGCGGGCAUGCCUGUUCGAGCGUCAUUUCAACCAUCAAGCCCACGGCUUGUGUUGGGGACCUCCGGCUGCCGCAGGCCCUGAAAAGCAGUGGCGGGCUCGCUGUCACACCGAGCGUAGUAGCAUACAUCUCGCUCUGGGCGUGCUGCGGGUUCCGGCCGUUAAACCACCUUCAUAACCCAAGGUUGACCUCGGAUCAGGUAGGAAGACCCGCUGAACUUAAGCAUAUCAAUAAGCGGAGGA